AGAAGGAGCACCAGCUGGAGAUCACGAUGCUGUCCCAGGGCGUGUCCAUGCUCUACUCCUUCUUCAUGUCGGCGGCGAAGCUCCGCGAGCGCCAGGACCUACCGAUGACGGAGAUCGUGACCCGGGUGUCCAAGAAGAAGCUGGGCCGCCACGUCAAGGCGCUGGUGUUCGAGCUCUGCUGCAACGACAACACCGAUGCCGACAUCGAGGUGCCCUACGUGCGCUACACCAUCCGCUAGGGGGCGCCACGCCCCGGCCGCGCCCCCACAGACCACACCCCUGCACCCCACCCCUCCCCAUAGUCGUUGUUGUGUCGGUCCCGCCCACCGGGGGCGGGGCCUGGGGGCGGGGCGAGGGCCCCGCCCAAUAAACAUAGACGUUGGCAAA